rnacentral:rRNA from 1 species
CUACGGGAGGCAGCAGUGGGGAAUAUUGGACAAUGGGUGCAAGCCUGAUCCAGCCAUCCCGCGUGUAUGAAGAAGGCCUUCGGGUUGUAAAGUACUUUCAGCGGGGAGGAAGGUGUUGUGGUUAAUAACCACAGCAAUUGACGUUACCCGCAGAAGAAGCACCGGCUAACUACGUGCCAGCAGCCGCGGUAAU